ACGGGAGGCAGCAGUGAGGAAUAUUGGUCAAUGGACGAGAGUCUGAACCAGCCAAGUAGCGUGAAGGAUGAAGGUUCUAUGGAUUGUAAACUUCUUUUAUACGGGAAUAAACGGAUCCACGUGUGGAUUUUUGCAUGUACCGUAUGAAUAAGGAUCGGCUAACUCCGUGCCAGCAGCCGCGGUAAUACGGAGGAUCCGAGCGUUAUCCGGAUUUAUUGGGUUUAAAGGGAGCGUAGAUGGGUUGUUAAGUCAGUUGUGAAAGUUUGCGGCUCAACCGUAAAAUUGCAAUUGAUACUGGCAGUCUUGAGUACAGUUGAGGUAGGCGGAAUUCGUGGUGUAGCGGUGAAAUGCUUAGAUAUCACGAAGAACUCCGAUUGCGAAGGCAGCUUACUAACCUGUAACUGACAUUGAUGCUCGAAAGUGUGGGUAUCAAACAGGAUUAGAUACCCUGGUA
rnacentral:rRNA from 1 species